rnacentral:rRNA from 1 species
AUUGAACGCUGGCGGCCGGCCUAACACAUGCAAGUCGAGCGGGGUUUUCGGACCUAGCGGCGGACGGGUGAGUAAUGCGUAGGAAGCUACCCGAUAGAGGGGGAUACCAGUUGGAAACGACUGUUAAUACCGCAUAAUGUCUACGGACCAAAGUGUGGGACCUUCGGGCCACAUGCUAUCGGAUGCGCCUACGUGGGAUUAGCUAGUUGGUGAGGUAAUAGCUCACCAAGGCGACGAUCCCUAGCUGGUUUGAGAGGAUGAUCAGCCACACUGGAACUGAGACACGGUCCAGACUCCUACGGGAGGCAGCAGUGGGGAAUAUUGGACAAUGGGCGCAAGCCUGAUCCAGCCAUGCCGCGUGUGUGAAGAAGGCCUUCGGGUUGUAAAGCACUUUCAGUUGGGAGGAAGGGUUGUGUGUUAAUAGUACACAGCCUUGACGUUACCAACAGAAGAAGCACCGGCUAACUCUGUGCCAGCCGCCGCAGUAAUAC